rnacentral:lncRNA from 1 species
ACCCUUUCUGAAGUAUCAGGGAAAAGUUCAGCAUAAAUCAGAGUUGAUGGGCAUGGUCUGGAACAUUCCCUGCCUCUGUACUCUCUGAUUGUGCCACCAUAUGGGCCAUGGGCCAAAUAUAUGCAGCGGAACUCCAAUAAUGUGUCCUAUAAUGGCCGGAGAAAGCACGCCCUCGAAGUUCCUAGGCAGUGGUUAUGGAAGCCCAGAAGUCCCAUGAUCUGCCAUCUACAUGCUGGAGACCCAGGAGAGCUGGUGGCAUAGUUCCAGUCCAAAUCAAAAGCCUGAGAACCAGGAGAAAUGAUGGUGCGGGUCCUGGUCUGAGGGCAGGGGAAGAUCCAUGUUCCAGCUCAACAGCCAGGCAGACAAAACCAACUUUCCCUUCCUUCCACCUUUUUUUCCUCUUCCAGUCCUGGACAAUUGGCUGAGAUCCACCCACCGAGGAGGGACGGCAGUCUGGGGAGCAGUUAGUUCUAGGAUGAUCAGCUGGUUCAGUUGGGCAGCGUCUCUUUCCCUGGGGGCUGUCCCAAACAAGGAG